AGAAAUCUUUCCAGUAACAAUAUCAGCGCUUUAAAUGCUAAGACAUUUGCACAUCUGACUUCCCUGACAAAACUAGAUUUAAGCAACAACAAGAUUUCUACGUUAGAAGAUGGAGUAUUUGAUAAUUUAUUUAAUUUAAGCGAAAUAAACCUAAGUCUGAAUCCGUUCCUUUGUGACUGCAAUCUCGCCUGGUUUCCCAGCUGGGUAGACAGAAGAAAAGUGAAAAUUGUGCGCCCGUUGGAUACAAAAUGCGCCCAGCCACC